UGUCUUUCUCCACAGGUCAACAGUGUUGCCCAGCACAAAUGAAUUUUACACCUUCUCAAACUCAAUAGAGCAAAGAUGGAACUUCAUUCCCCCUGCAAGCCCUACUGCCCCAGAGAAAAGCAAAAACAACGGAGACUGAGAUCUCAAAAUUAUCAAGAAGCUGAAGCUCCCCAACUCCCGCUUCCUGGCGCCGAAUCCACCAUUCAUCACAGGGACAGACAAACAGAGGACACCUGCAGCUCCCCUAACUCAGCUAAACGCAGGCUGAUGGGAGGACGCCGAACUGCAAAGCCGCAGCUCCCCUCCCCCACCUAAAACCUUGUAAACUGUAAUCGUUAAUUGGCAGCAGUUGCCGUCCACACCCCAAGGCCAAAUUUCUGGUGAUGAGAGAAGAUUGGUUGAUGGAGCCCUAGAUCUCCCGCUGUAGAUAGAGAUGACAGCCGGCUUGGCGCCAGAAGACUGGGAUCACUCCUCCAACAAAUAAUCAGUCACCAAGGAUAUAUUAUUUCCCACAGACUUUCCUUUAAAAGCCUCAACUCCUAAUGCCUCAGGAGGACUGUGGAUUUUGGGGCAUGUGCCCACUACAGCCUCAUUUUGCUGGCAAAAUUAAACCACUUUUCUUUUCCUCGG